GGAAAUUUACAUAAGAUGUAUUGGGAAACGUACAUUCAUCGUCUGUUAAAUGGUAACCGACAGAUUUACGAAUGGCUAAGGCUAAGGUGCUUACCUUUGUGCGCCAUAUCCUCUAAGGACGGCAGACGCUCUAUUAAGGCGCCUGUAGACCAAUGCGGCACUACAGCUCCAAUGGCCGUCGGGGUGGAUUGUAAAGGCCUUUUGCUGUUGGAUUUCGUACUGCCCGCUGGGAGAACCCUAGGUAGCGAGGCGAACCUUUAAUAAAAUGCAAAAUGCAAAUGUGCAGAUGGUGUUGCCGGUGCUAUUAAUGAUCAGAAAUCCAUUGUUUUCUGAGUAAUAAAGAAGUCCCCAGGCAUACAAUCAAGAAUUUGUGUAUAUCUCGUGCACUACCGCGAUCGCGACAAGUCACAGGAUACAACGAUGGCGGUGGAGAAACUGUAAUUUAUUUAGAGUAUGCGAGCAAUAAGAAUUUUCCGGACAUAGCCUGCCUGCGCCACGGUGCCGACUAGGCCGACCCUUCGAAUGCCAUCGACGGAAUCAUGGAAUUCUUUUUGUUGUUGAAACAGGGUGGAAUGUGAUUGGCUGAGCCUGGGAUACUGGCUAAAGCACCACCAUUUGCCACGGGAAAGUGCUCUGGUUGGCUGGCUGUUGGCCACAACAGUUGUCGCACUCGCACUUACCUCCAUAUACAUUAAAAAUAAAGGUAGAAGAGCACAUAAAAUACUGCAAUUCUUACUAAAAAAGGAAUCAGUUUGAAAUAAAAGAAAGGCAGGAACAGGCACACAAAUACUCACAACAGGGCUUGCACAUUUUAUGAUUAAACAUAUGUUAAAAGAUGAAUUUCGUUUAGUCUUUAAGUUUAGCCUGUCCCCUACUAAAGCCUUCAUUUCAUUUAAAUUGAAGUAUUUCGAGGUAAUCAGGGCCAGUCACUAUCUAAUAGAAUUCUUUCAUUCCGAUACACAAUAACGCGCUCGUACAUUUCCGGUUCCCGUUAACUACCCGCAGCGUUUCCGCUGUAAAACGAGUGGCACUUACACCUUACAAACAAUGCGUGGGCGUAACGUACCAAAUGUUAAGCGCAAAAUGUCGACAAGCCUAAACACGAACAGUUACACCCACAUGUGGAGGCUUCUGAAUCUUCGUAAGGAUUGCGUCCUGCUUUGGCCUUUAACCAAUCAUCUAUGCUGCGUCCUGCGUGUUCGAAAGGGACGGCAAAUAAGAGGCGUACGUUCGUUUUUUAUGCCAUACAAUGCUUUACAGGCAUUCUUUCCUACAAACACAAGAGGACAACGCGCAACGUAACUGCAGGCGAGCGAUAAUAUAUUUAAAGGUAAUAUGCACAAAAAAUAUUUGUUUUCGAUUGUGGAAACAAAAGUUACACAAUAUUAUAAACAAUAUUAUUACACAAAGCAUAACACAAUUCCUUUACAAAAUACAAUAGUCCAACAAAUCAAGUGAAUAAGUAAUUUUUAUAUAUAAUUUUCAACUUUCAAUAUGCAAUCUAUGCCUAUGCUUCGGACAAGCCUACAUUUAUAUAUAUACCUACAUU